rnacentral:tRNA from 1 species
GCACCCGUAGCUCAGUUGGAUAGAGCAACAGCCUCCGACGCUGUGUGCCGCCGGUUCGAAUCCGGCCGGGUGUGCCA